rnacentral:rRNA from 1 species
CUACGUGCCAGCAGCCGCGGUAAUACGUAGGGGGCAAGCGUUAUCCGGAUUCAUUGGGCGUAAAGCACUCGUAGGCGGUCUGUUAGGUCGGGAGUUAAAUCCGGGGGCUCAACCCCCGUUCGCUCCCGAUACCGGCAGACUUGAGUUUGGUAGGGGAAGGUGGAAUUCCUAGUGUAGCGGUGGAAUGCGCAGAUAUUAGGAAGAACACCAGUGGCGAAGGCGGCCUUCUGGGCCAUAACUGACGCUGAGGAGCGAAAGCUAGGGGAGCAAACAGGAUUAGAUACCCUGGUAGUCCUAGCCGUAAACGAUGGACACUAGGUGUGGGGGAAUAUUUCUUCCGUGCCGCAGCUAACGCAUUAAGUGUCCCGCCUGGGGAGUACGGCCGCAAGGCUAAAACUCAAAGGAAUUGACGGGGGCCCGCACAAGCAGCGGAGCAUGUGGUUUAAUUCGAAGCAACGCGAAGAACCUUACCAGGGCU